rnacentral:rRNA from 1 species
CGCGAAUUCGCCCUUCGGGGCGCAGCAGGCGCGAAAACUUUACAAUGCUGGCAACAGCGAUAAGGGGACCUCGAGUGCCAGGUUACAAAUCUGGCUGUCGUGAUGCCUAAAAAGCAUUGCAUAGCAAGGGCCGGGCAAGACCGGUGCCAGCCGCCGCGGUAACACCGGCGACUCGAGUGGUAACCGUUAUUAUUGGGUCUAAAGGGUCUGUAGCCGGCCGGAUAAGUCUCUUGGGAAAUCCAGCAGCUCAACUGUUGGGCUUUCAGGAGAUACUGUCUGGCUCGAGGCCGGGAGAGGUGAGAGGUACUUCAGGGGUAGGGGUGAAAUCUUGUAAUCCUUGAAGGACCACCAGUGGCGAAGGCGUCUCACCAGAACGGACCUGACGGCAAGGGACGAAAGCUAGGGGCACGAACCGGAUUAGAUACCCGGGUAGUCCUAGCCGUAAACGAUACUCGCUAGGUGUCGGCCACGGUGCGACCGUUGUCGGUGCCGUAGGGAAGCCGUGAAGCGAGCCACCUGGGAAGUACGGCCGCAAGGCUGAAACUUAAAGGAAUUGGCGGGGGAGCAC